rnacentral:misc_RNA from 1 species
CGUCCGAUAACUUUCUUGCUAGCCAUGAAAUCCGACGAACCUGAAUCGGACAAAACCGUUUCCAUUGACCAGAUACAACCACUUAUUUCCCGUAAACUACCUCGCGUGGUUACGUCGAUUCCCGGGAAAAAGUCGCAAAAUGAAAGCGACAACGAUGGCGUUGCUAAGGCCACGAUCACUCAUUCUGAGAGCGGCACGAAGGACAGGAAGAAAGGAAGAAAGCUGGUGUCUGAGCUCACUAAAAUGGAGGUGAAGAGAAGCAAAGGAAAGGACAGAAAAAGGAAACUGGUUCGGGGUCCAUCUGUGGACACUUCGCGAGCAAGAGGCAGUUGCGAUGUGGUGCGACUCGCUGUAAGAGAGUUGGGCUGGCGCGAGUGUCCCUUGGGUCGUCGGACUGGGUGUGACUUUUACUGGCUUGGCGGACACUUUGAGAUGCCCGAAUUUCCAGAAACUGGACAGCUUAGUAAAUUUUUUGGUAUGUCAGAGGCUGCCCACAAAGUAGAACUAACAAGACACAUCAACAGGCUACAAUUCCUUUUUCCUCAUGAAUUUACCUUUUAUCCCAAGACCUGGAUAUUACCAGAGGAAUAUGGAGAACUUACUGGGUACAUGUCUAAAGCAAAGAAACCACCCACUCUCAUUGUAAAGCCUGAUGGAGGAUCACAGGGAGAUGGAAUAUUUUUGAUGCAAAAUGUUCAUGAUGUACAUCUUAGUACUGCCCUUGUGAAACCAUGUGUUGUCCAGGAAUAUAUCGCAGAGCCAUUUCUUCUAGAAAAGUUUAAAUUUGAUCUUCGGAUUUAUGUUAUACUGAAGAGCUUAGAGCCUUUAGAAGUGUUCAUCUGCCGUGAGGGUAUGGCACGUUUUUGCACCGAACACUACCAGCUGCCCACAUCUAAAAACAUCUUCAAGACUUACAUGCACUUGACAAACUAUUCUCUCAACAAACAUAGCGCAGGGUAUGUGCAAAGUGAUGCCGACGACAAGGGUAGCAAGCGCAAGUUAAGUGCCGUCUUCAAACAACUGGAGAAACAAGGGUGUAACAUUCCACUUUUGUGGGCUGAAAUAGACAAGGUUGCUUGCAAGACAAUAAUUGCACUGGUACCUGUUCUCAAACUUCAAAAUCAGAUUGCCAGUGCUGCAUUGAAGCAAGAUCUCAGAUCGUUUCAAAUCUUAGGUUUUGACAUCCUGUUGGAUAAGGACCUUAAACCUGUCCUACUUGAGGUGAACUCUGCUCCAAGUUUAAGGAUUGACUAUGAGGAAGAGGUUGCUCCUGGUAAAGUCGAGUACUUUGUAAGCACUACAGAUCUGGAUAUCAAACUUCCAAUUGUGAAAGAUGCCUUGUCGCUUACAUGGCAACACAAGAAAAUGGAUAGUUUGCCAGAUGUGUCAGGUUGCCUGUGUCAGAUUUAUCCUAAACUGGAUUCCCAGUUAGAUCACCUGAGAGUUGUGGAAAGGUGUCUUGCACUCUUCAAACACUUUGUAGGUGUCCGUGUGUCCAACAAGAUGGGACCCACUUCUUUCAGAUUGAUGGCAAGGCGGUGCCACCUGACAGACUUUGGCUUCUCUCUGGCUGCAUUUGAUAUCAUGUUUAUUAACAUGAGUCGCCGCCAUCCAGGCAGCGAGUCUGGUCGUGCAUCUCUCAACUUCAAUGGCUUCUGUGAAUCACUCAUUGCAGUAGGACAUAAGAAAUUUGCACUGACAAUGCGCAAGGAGCCUGUGCAAAUAUUAUUAAAUGUUUUGAAUCACUGUGAGCAACACUUAGGAAAAGCAGCAAAUGCAUCAACACGUAGAAGAAUGGCUGAACCUCCCUCCAAGCUGAGCGAUCAAAAACUGCUGAGUUGCUUCCACCUUCCUCUAGCUACAAGUGCUUUUAGUUUAUAAAUAACAAACACGAGAACAUAAUAAUUAUUAUUGCAAGAAGCACCACUCGAUCAGCUGGACUACCUUCAGUUCUACUAUCACAACUAAAUAUUAAGCAGUUACAGAGAAUGCAUGCACUGAUCAGGGCCUUGAAUGGUAAAUCUGAUACUUUUCAAGAUGUGUUUUCAGCUGGAUGUUUCACCAAAAAGUCAAUAGUAAAGACCAAAGAUGGGAUCAUUCAACUUCCAGGUGUCAUCCACAACACAAAAUCACCUGUGAACGUUGCCAUUCUGUAUGUAAUCUCACUCUUAUAUAAGGGAGUUUUUUUUUUUUUAUCUUGCCAACUCUUACUCUGACACAGACAGUCUGGAAAAUACUGUAUUCAAUACAGAAAGACCCUAUUGGCUUGCCACUGAAUAAAGACUUGUAGUCAUCUUAAGAAUCAAGUAAAAAAAAAUUAU